rnacentral:lncRNA from 1 species
UUUUUCUUUUUUUUUUUUUUUUUUUUGGUUGCACCUGCGGCCUAUGAAAGUUCCUGGAUCCAAGCUACAGCUGUGACGUGUGCUGCAGCUGUGGCAGUGCCAAAUCCUUAAGCCACUGUGUGCCGGGCCGGGGAUCAAACCUGUGCCUCUGCAGUGACCCAAGCCACUGCAGUCAGAUUCUUAACCCCCUGUGAAACAGCAGGAAAUCCUAAGACUUUUCUUAUGUGCCUCUGUUAAAUUUCAUCUGGUGCUUCUAAAAUUGAUUUUUCUUGCACUUACACUUCUUAAAUAUCAUUUUGUUAGAUUCAGUGUUCACUACCACUUCUUGAACUUUAGGAGCCAAGAACCUCAGAAAUACUGUUUUUGGAGUUCCUGCUGUGGAACAGUAGGUUAAUGAUCUGGCUUGUCUCUGUGGCAUUGCUGGUUUGAUCUCUGGCCCAAGAACUUCCAAUAUGCCACAGGUGUGGCUGAAAAAGAAAAAAAAGUAUCACUUUUUAUCUCCAAUUCAUAAUACUGAUUCAAGGGGUAUUACUCCCAUUUUAAAGGGACCAAACCCGCAACCUCAUGGUUCCUAGUCGGAUUCGUUAAACCACUGCACCAUAACGGGAACUCCUCUCUCCUGUUUUGAUCUUUUAGAUCUGUGUUUUCUUUUACAGUAUAUUUGUUCUCUUAGUUAAAAACUGUCUUAUAUGGUCAGCAUGACCCAGGGCCUUUAUCUUAGUCAUUUACAGCAAUGAGACAAGGCCAGGGAUAGAUGCAGAGCAAAUCAAGGAAAAAAAAAAAGAGUGUGAGCUUUAGAGUCAGAUUUGGUUUAGGAAUCUUGAUUGUACUAUGAGUUGUGUGAGUUGGCAUGGACUUUAACUUGUCUGGGCCUCCAAUUCUUCAUGUAUAAAAUGUCUUAAUACCUACUGUUGGAUAGUUUGAAUAAAACAUGGAUGCAGGAAGUUCCUGUUGUGGCUCAUCGGAAAUGAAUCUGACUAGUAUCCAUGAGGAUGCAGGUUUGAUCCCCAGCCCAGCUCAGUGGGUUAAGGAUCUGGUGUUGCUGUGAACUGUGGUGUAGGUCACAGAUGCGGCUUGGAUCUGGCAUUGCUGUGGCUGUGGCACAGGCCAACAGCUACAGCUCUGAUUCAACCCCUAACCUGGGAACCUCCAUAUGCUGUGAGUGGGGCCCCAAAAAGACAAAACAACAACAACAAGAACAGCAAAAACCAUGAAUGCAGAGCUUAACUCAGGCUCAGCAGGCAUACUCUAGGCUCUCAAUAAACAUCUGUUUGUCUCCCUCCCUGCAGGGAAUUUCUUUAAAAUCUUUUUAUUUAUUUAUUUUCUAUCCUUUAAAAUUCUCCACUACAAGUCCUAUUACUAUUACUUUUUUAAAAAAAUUGACCAUCUUUGGGUAUGAUUGUUUAUCAUUUCCCACAGGGUAUCAUAUGCCCCACUGUGGUAGCACACUUGACCAUAGGAAGGAGUGGUUAAGGAGUUCCUGCUGUGGCACAGUAGGAUUGGCUCUGUCUCUCUAGCGCCAGGACACAGAUUCAAUCCCCAGCCUGGCACAGUGGGUUGAGGGAUCUGGAACUGCAUUCAAAAAUUCAUUAAACUCAGAUUCUUAUGAGAUAUGUCUUAUUUAUUUCAUAAAAUUUGUAAACUUACUUUGGAUAUCUCUGUUAUAGAUGUCUGAAGUUAAAGAUAUUGGCAACUUGGAGUUCCCAUUGUGGCUCAGUGGUAACAAACCCAACUAAUAGCCAUGAGGGUGCGAGUUUGAUCCUUGGUCCUGCUCAGUGGGUUAAGGAUCCAGUGUUGCUGUGAGCUGUGCUGUAGGUCACAGACGCUGCUUGGAUCCUGUGUGGCUAUGGCUGUGGCUUAGGUUGGCAGCUACAGCUCCAAUUUGACUCAAAGCCUGGGAACUUCCAUAUGCUGCAGGUUUGACCCUAAAAAAGCAGAAAAGAAAAGAAAAGAAACAAACAAAAAAGAUUGGCAACUUAAUUCUCAGAUAGUCUUUUUUGUGAUUUAAUAUUCACCUCUUCCAUUGCUUUUUUAAUGCCGUUCUUGAUAUUCUUUCCCAGUUUUAUCCAGGAAUUUUUUUCUUCCUCUGUUUUCAAUUUUAAGCUCUCAUAAUCAGAUUGUCAGGUAUUCAGACAAACAUAUUUUUCCUACUCCUGUAGGAAUAAUGAGAACCUAUCAUCAUUCAAGUAUUUACUCAUCAAAAUGGUGCUGUGCACUGCGCUUGCUGUUAAGUAUGCGUUUGUGAGCAUGGAAGACGUGGCCCUGCGCCUCUCCAAAUGUGUUUUAAAGUAUGCCACCAAAUGAUGAGUUUCUCUUCUAUGUUGUAUUCCCAUUAUAUGCUAAUGGGAGCAGGUAGACAGUAACAUAAGUUUUUUAUAAUACUGUGUGCCUGAGUGGAAGGCAGUAAAAAUUUCCAAGGUGAAGGAGUGCUGUUUAGAUUGACACCUAAAGGGUGAAUAGGAGUAACUAAGCCAGUGUUGGGAGUAGGGAAACGAGAAGAAAGUUCCAGCAUGGAGUUCCUGUUGUGGCUCAAACCCAACUAGUAUCCAUGAAGUUUCAGGUUCAAUCCCUGACCCCAUCCAGUGGGUUAAGGAUCCAGCAUUGCGGUGAGCUGCGUGUGGUGUGGGUCACAGAUACAGCUUGGAUCUAGCAUUGCUGUUGCUGUUGCAGAGGCCUGCAACUGCAGCUCCAAUUCGACCCCUAGCCUGAGAACUUCCAUAUGCCACAGGUGUGGCCCUAAAAAAAAGUUCCAACAUGAUAUCCAGUUUAUUGACCAUCAUUCGCAUUCCUCCUAUCUUUUCUGAAGUCUCAGCCAUCAAUUGGACAAAGAGAUAAAAAUUGUUACUAAAUGCCUCCCUCAUCUCCUAGGUCCUCCAAGUCCUUUAGUUUCCCCCCCUGCCCUAGAAAGACUUUCCUGGUUUCUUCUGAUUGUGUGGUUUACCCUCUUACUAAGCAGCUAGAAUGGGUAGCAGUUGGCAAGCUGCCUUUGGGUUCUUCCUUAUGGAGAAUGACCUUUCCUUCCCCCACUCCUCUCAACUCCCAUCUCUGGGAACCAAGAUGACUUUGCUUUUGCUGAUGGUGAGGAGCUUCCUGUUGAUUCUCCAGAUUUCUGUUUUGUUUUGUUUUCUGUUUUUCGUCUAUGUUGUAUUCCAUGUUCUUCUGUUGUCUUUGGGAGUUCUUCAUCCUUUUUGAUAACCUUUGUCUGGGGAGUGAUUUUUAAGUCUGAGAGGAGAGAUACCAGAUUGGAUUUAGUAAACAUGCUAUUGGCAAAGGCCUCCAGCAGGAAAGCAGGUGUGGCACAAUUUUUACAGUGUCUUGGCACAUACCCUGUUUAGUGCUAAAGGUUCCUAAAAGUGGCUAUGAGCCUUUACCCCUUUGUAGAGCUCCCUAACUCAUUAUCUUUGGCCUUGAUAAGAAGACUUUUAGACUGUCAACAAACUCAUCAUUUGGUGGCAUAAUUUAAAACACAUUUUAGACCAUUUGUGUUCAGAUAUCCACAUGUCUGUGUAUGUAUAUUUUAGGUAAUAUAUAUAUUUUAGUUAAAGACUAAAUAUAUAGUUAUAAUUUAGUUAAAGACUGUAUAUAUAUAUUAGUCUUUUAGUUAAAGCUAAUAUGGUUUAGUUAAAGACUAUAUAUUUAAAGUCUUUAAACAACAUAUAUAAGCAUAAAAGUAAUACAUUUUAGUUUGGGGGUAGAUAAUAUAGUCACAUUAUUUAAACUUAAAAACGUACAAGAGAAUCUGGUAAGUAUUCUCCCUCUUGCCAUGUAUCUCAGCCACCUAGAUCUCUGAGACAACCAGUGUUGCCAGUUUCUUUUACAUCUUCCAGAGUAAUUUUGUGCAUAGACAAGCACAUGACAUAAUAUAUAUGUCAUACUAUAUAAUAUGUCAUAAACAUGUUACAUAUAAUGUCAUAUAUGACAUAAUAUGUAUGUCAGAUAACAUACAUACUGAUGAGAUGAAUGGUGUAUAUCCUGCAUUUCUCAAGGCCAUUAGUGGGUGGAACAAUUGUAGGAUUUGAAAAGACUUUAAUUCAAACCUCAGAACCUUAGCAUCUCAGCUCUUCAUUUACUGAGUUGAAGGACCUUGGGCAGCUUGUUUAUUUAGGCUCUGUGUGCUUCGAUUUCUUUAUGUAGUUAAUAAUACUUAGUGUGCCUAGGCUGUUGGAUAUGAUGUGUAUACAGUUCCUUCUUUGGUGCAGGUUAAAGGCUUUACAAAGGUUGCUACCUUUGCUGUUUCUUGCUGGACCACACUCUUUGGCUUGUGUGAACUGGAGCUGAGGGCAAAGUCUUGCUCUAACAAAUGAAUGGACUGAAUUGUCUUCUGUACUGCGAUAUGGGACCAGCGCUCUCUACUUAAGGAAGGGAACCAUGAGCCAAGGCAGAAAGCAUUUUGAAAGGAGUAGAACAUUUUUUUUCCCAACAUCUUAAUACAUUUUAUUAUUAUUACUAUUUUUAGUAGUAAUUUCGCCAAUAUAAUUUUUUUUCCUACCGUACAGCAUGGUGACCCAGUUACACAUACAUGUACACAUUCUAUUUUCCCACAUUAUCAUGUUCCAUCAUAAGUGACUAGACACAGUUCCAAGUGCUACACAGCAGGAUCUCAUUGCUUAUCCAUUCCAAAGGCAAUAGUUUGUAUCUAUUAUCCCCAAGCUCCCUAACCACCCCAUUCCCUCCCCCUCCCCCUUGGCAACCACAAGUCUAUUCUGCAAGUCCAUGAUUUUCUUUUCUAUGGAAAGUUUCAUUUGUGCCUUAUAUUAGAUUCCAGAUAUGAGCCAUAUCAUAUGGUAUUUAUCUUUCUCUUUCUGACUUACUUCACUCAGUAUGAGAGUCUCUAGUUCCAUCCAUGUUGCUGCAAAUGGCAUUAUGUUGUUCUUUUUUAUGACUGAGUAGUAUUCCAUUGUGUAUAUAUACCACAUCUUCCUAAUCCAAUCAUCUGUCAAUGGACAUUUGUUGUUUCCAUGUCUUGGCUAUUGUGAAUGGAGCUGCAAUGAACAUGCAGGUGCAUGUGUCUUUUUUAAGGAAAGUUUUGUCCAGAUAUAUGCCCAAGAGUAGGAUUCCUGGGUCCUAUGGUAGUUCUAUGUAUAAAUUUCUAAGAUACCUCCACACUGAUAUCCAUAGUGACUGUACCAGCUUACAUUCCCACCACUGUGCAGGAGGGUUCCCUUUUCUCCACACCCUCUCCAGCAUUUGUUAUUUGUGGACUUAUUAAUGAUGGCCAUUCUGACUGGUGUGAGGUGGUAUCUCGUGGUAGUUUUGAUUUGCAUUUCUCUAAUAAUCAGUGAUGUUGAACAUUUUUUCAUGUGCUUGUUGGCCAUCUGUACAUCUUCCUUGGUAAAAUGUCUAUUCAGGUCUUUUGCCUGUUUUUCAGUUGGGUGGUUGCUUUUUUGCUGUUGAGUUGUAUAAAUUGCUUGUAUAUUCUAGAGAUUAAGCCCUUGUCAGUUGCAUCAUUUGAAACUAUUUUCUCCCAUUCCGUAAGUUGUCUUUUUUGUUUCCUUUGCUGUGCAAAAGCUUUUCAGUUUGAUUAGGUCCCAUUGGUUUAUUUUUGCUCUUAUUUCUGUUGCUUUGGGAGACUGACCUGAGAAAAUAAUUCAUAAGAUUUUUAUCAGAGAAUGUUUUACCUAUGUUCUCUUCCAGGAGUUUGAUGGUGUCUUGUCUUAUAUUUAAGUCUUUCAGCCAUUUUGAUUUUAUUUGUGUGCAUGGUGUGAGGGUGUGUUCUAGUUUCAUUGAUUUACAUGCAGCUGUCCAGGUUUCCCAGCACUGCUUGCUGAAAAGACUGUCUUUUUCUCAUUUUAUGAGUAGAACAUUUUUUGUUCAUCAUGUAUUGGGGAACAUCUGUUACUGAUCUGGGCCUUCCCACUUUCUUGGUAGACUGCUGUUAAACCCUCGCCCUUCCCUUCUGCUGGUAGGAAGUUAUUAACACUGAAUAGCUUUUCAUGUUUAAUAGCUCAAUUAACUCUGGCCCUUCAGUAUUGCUUGAUGCUUUGGACUCUUAUGGGAAGCUUCACUUGCUUAGCCCUACUUUGGGUUUCCUGCUUUUCAGUUUUCAUUGUCAUGUUAAUCCUUUAAUAGCAGUUAGCUUUUCUUCUUUUUGGUUCUGGCAUAGUGCUUAAUGUAAUAGAUGGAGGAGUCACAAUUUUCAGUCAUAUUUGGUUUCAUCAGGAGGAUGGUGUUAGGCCUUCCUUCAUGGUUAUCUGGAUUUAGCAUUUUUGAUGGGAUUUGUAGGACUUUGAAGUUUCCUUGAUCUCUUAAUGAGUAAAAGAAAGAGAUUUUAUAUCUUACAACACAUGGCUAUCAAAAUAAGAGAACUGAUGAUGUGGGGAUAUCUUUUAAAAUAAGAAAAAAAUUUUGAAUACCCACUGCGGAAGAUUCUGUGCUAGGUGUUUUUUUAAGCUGUUGGUUACAGGAAACCAGUAGAGAAAAUAAAUAGGGACAAUGAAGGAAAGGUGAGUAGAAUUCAAUUAGAUUUGAGCACACUGUAAAUACUUAAAAAAAAAAAAAAAAAAA